AAGACCUUGCACUUUUGGAGCGGCCGAUGUCUGAUUAGCUAGUUGGUGGGGUAAUGGCCUACCAAAGCUUCGAUCAGUAGCUGGUCUGAGAGGACGGCCAGCCACACUGGGACUGAGACACGGCCCAGACUCCUACGGGAGGCAGCAGUGUGGAAUUUUGGACAAUGGGCGCAAGCCUGAUCCAGCCAUGCCGCGUGAGUGAAGAAGGCCUUCGGGUUGUAAAGCUCUUUCAGUCGGGAAGAAAAGGUUGCGACUAAUAAUCGCAAUUCAUGACGGUACCGGAAGAAGAAGCACCGGCUAACUACGUGCCAGCAGCCGCGGUAAUACGUAGGGUGCGAGCGUUAAUCGGAAUUACUGGGCGUAAAGGGUGCGCAGGCGGUUUUGUAAGUCAGAUGUGAAAUCCCCGGGCUUAACCUGGGAACU
rnacentral:rRNA from 1 species